CAACCCUGGAGACAAAGCCCUUAGCACCUCACAGCCCACAGAGAGCUGUAUGCUCACUGUGCAUUUGACCACGGUUGGGCCACACCUCUGCAGUGGACCGCCUGUCCUCCUUGCAUUGGGGGGUAUCCCUGGACUCUGCAGGGCUGGGAAGGUGGUUGGACUGAGCAGCUGACGAAGCGCCAGGCUUUGUAUGUCUCUCACCUUGGCAUGUGCUUGGAUCAAUGAUGACUCCCCCAUAAACAUUCCUUGGAAAAGCUGAACAAAAUGAGUGAGAACUCACAACCGUCGUUCUCAUCGUGACUGAGGUCCAGCACAUUGCCUCUGGCAGGGACUAUGGCAGUGAGGGCCCACGUCCAGGGUAGCAGUUCUCUCCACAACCCAGGGGUGCCCAUGGUGAAAGGUCUAUUUGAACAGCGCCAGCAAGGUGAUCUCUCAGUCGGCCGCUCUGGGCAGCAAAGUGCCUGGUGCAGUGGUGCUGGGAGUUUGCGUGGCGGUUACCCAUGUGGGCAGCAGUGGUGAAGGAUGCAGCAGGGUGUGCAGGAUCUGAUUGUGUGGAUGUGCCCAUGCUAAGUGUAUACCUCAAGGGUCUGUUGCAUGCAGCUGAGGCCCUGGUUGCCUGUGCAGUGGGUCAUGGUACCAAGUGCUCCUCUUCUUGGCCAACAGGAGUCAUGAAGCCCAGUCCUCUGGCCAGCAUUAGGUCUCUCUGCUUGUGUUCUGAAGUGGCAGUAGUCUGCCGCAGGGCUCUGAAGAGAUCAGACAUCCCCUUGAGUGUGGCAUUGACACUUGGCAGUAGUGCCUGUGUGACCUGGUGUUAGGAGUCAGCCUGGCAUGACUGUGUGUUCCCUUCACUUGGGAGUUUCUUCCAUAAAGUGCAGUAGCUCUUAGGGUUGAUGCAAAGGAAAUGACAGGGACAAUGGGAUAGGUUGUCUCCAAGGAAACCCUGGUGAGCAUGGUUGCUGUGGUUUCUCUAGGUGGGGCAGAAGGGUAUUCCUUGGGUCACCAAGGGUGAGCCCUGGUAUUAUCAUUUUGUGACUAUGCAGUAGAGCUUGUGCACACAUCUGGUGCAUUUUUGAAGGUUACUUGGUGGGAGGGAUAACAGGUGAGCAAUCUUCAGGGAUCCCUUUAGCUGAGGGUGUGAGUGCAGCAUAAUCUGUUGUACUCUUGAUCAUGGAUGAAGCAGCUUUGUAGGUCUGUGUCACAAAGACAUGUUACUGUGCUUCUCCUAUUUGAAAUGGACUCUCUCUUUACCUGGGCCUCCAACGCAGAACCAGUGAUGUGACGCAGUUAACUCAGGAGAGUUAGGACCUUGGUCAUGGUGGCUUCCCUCAGCUUGCAACAUCUGCUGCUGGAAUCCUGAGGCCCUGUACCUCAUGUCCCUGUCCAGUGCCUGUAAUCCCAGAGCCUGAGCCCAGAAGUCAUGGCCAGCAGAGAAACUUCGAUGUCUUGUGGGUGGGAGGAUGUUUUUAGGCAUUUACUGUACUCCGGGGUUCUGAGAAUAAUCCAAUGCUGGAACAUACUCUGUCUUGGGUGACUGGGUAAUCUGCCAGGGACAUAAUCCUGGUGCUUUUCCCUGGUCUGGUUGGUGCUCACUAGUUCUGGUCAUGGGUAGUACAGUCCUCUGUGUUGGCAGGUGUGAGGUUGAAUCUUCGGUGGGUUUGAGGGCCGGUUGCAUGUUCCCCUGAGCUGAUUUCAGACAUUUGGAGGGCUUGUCAGGGAUGGGGCGAUAAAGGACAGGCAAUUAGCGAGAGGUCACUGGGGGUCAAGUCUGACCCUGGGUGCAUCUAGGCAAAGCCACUGCUGGCCUCCCAGACCUGCGUGACCACUGACACACAAAUGAGAUUGGGAGAUUUAAGAGCACAAGUGCGAGGUUGGCUGUGUUUGCAGCGGUGCUCUUGACGUUUCCGGCCACAACACAAAACCCUAGGCAGCUAUUGAGGAUGUCCCCUGAUCAUAUUCAUGACUGAGGACUGUACAGGGUACCCCACACCUGGCAGAGGUUCUAGGCGACCAAAGGCCUGACUGUGUCUCAGGUCCUAUGAGGUAGUAUGCCUUGCACAGCGGUUCUUUCUUUCCCUGGAUGCCCUCACGAGUUUGUGGGGUUCCUGUAGACCUUGUCACUCUGGCCAGAUGUCGGUGCCCAUCAUGAUAUUGAAGGCUCAGACACCAGCAAAGCAGUGCCGGCAGGUAGAUGCCAAAAAUGUUCAGGCAAAGGUCAUCGAUGGCAGGACCAAUACACACUAGGGACAUGGACACUUAUGUACCAUAACUCGCAACUUCCCAGAAUUCAGAACUCAAGCUGAGAACCCACAAUAGCACACUCAAGAGAAACUUGUAUAACCAGAGUUCAUCAUGGACAGACUGGCUUGUGUGAAAGGAAGGUUCAGAGAUGAAGAUUGAGUGAAUGCAUUGUGGCGCAGGGACCAGGGUCAUCCUAAGCAUUGCAGGUCAGAGCAGGCCAUGGCUCUGUUUUUCUCAAGCGUGCCUGUGGGUUUGUGUGUACUUCUCAGGACUGCUUGCUGAUGUCAACGUGGCCGUGCAGGGUGGCAAGAAGUGUGCUUCUGCUGAGGACUUGAGGC